GUUUCCGUGGUGUAGUGGUUAUCAUGUUUGCCUCACACGCGAAGGGUUCCCGGUUUGAAACCGGGUGGAAACA
rnacentral:tRNA from 1 species